rnacentral:lncRNA from 1 species
GCGCGGCAAGGGCGGCAAGGGGCUGGGCAAGGGCGGCGCCAAGCGCCACCGGAAGGUCCUCCGCGACAACAUCCAGGGCAUCACCAAGCCGGCCAUCCGGAGGCUGGCCAGGAGAGGCGGUGUGAAGCGCAUCUCCGGCCUCAUCUACGAGGAGACCCGCGGCGUCCUCAAGAUCUUCCUCGAGAACGUCANUUUAUCGACUAGGUAAGAGAGAGUUGGAGAUGGUGAAGAGUACCUUGUUGUCGUUCCUGCGAGCUAGGACGCUUCCCAGUGAGAAUGCUUGUAGGAUAAGGAUGAUGGCAUGUGUUCACACUUUCAACCAAGAUUUCCACUAUUAGAUAAGAUUGGCGUGUUAGCUUUCAAGGCCCUACCUAUGUAAGACUUGACCUCAAUGGUCCUUAUUUGUAUCAAACAAUAUGUAUGGACGUAAGACUCUUGUUAUUUAGUUUCUAUGUGUUCAGCGAUCAUCGAUCUGUGGGAUCACUGAGCACGUACAUUCGGCGAUCUCGACCUACAAGUCGGGGUCCCCAUAAUGUUGUACUGAACACUAACUGUGUUCCCAAGGCUUGCUGUAAGUAAUCCCAAAACCUCAAAGUAAACUUAGUGCCUCAGUCGGAUACUAUGGUCUUUAGAAUUCCGUGCAAGCACACAAUACGAGCUAGGUACAGCCUGGCUACCUUGUGUGUGGAGUAGGUGGUCUUCACUGGAAUGAAAUGGGCCACUUUGGUAAGUAAAUUAGGGAUAACCCAUAUGGUAUGGUGUCCAUGUCGGGACUGGGGGUAGUCCGACAAUGAAAUCCAUGCCGAUCUCGUCCCACUUCCACUCAGGUACUUUCAUAGGUUGUAGUAGGCCAGCUAGUUUCUGGUGCUCGGCCUUGAGUCGCUGACAUGAAUUGGAGCGUGCAAUAAAAGAGGCGAUAUCUCGUCUUCCUGAGCAGAAUACAAACCCUAACAAAAUUUGAAGAAAGAUCUAACAAUGGAGCCCUCCCACCGGCAAGGGCCAAGAUCCUCUCCACCUCCAUGGCCCUAAGGCCACCGAAGACGGGGCGGACCAACAACGGCACCGGCGGGAGGCAUUGGAGCCCUAGCUUUUUUGGGGCGACGGCUAGGGUUAGCUAGGCGGGUGUUUUCGAUCGUCCUCCUCCUUGAGACUACCUACAAUAAAAAUAACAUAGAUAUUAACGUAAAUGCCAUCUAAACAAAAAAUAUGGUGUGCCAAAUAAUUAAUAUAAGAAGAAAGAAAAUUGACGAACUCAGCUAGUUACUCAUAGUAUGAAUAACGUAACACAUACAAAGACAAACUAAUAAAUAAAAAGCCCAAUAUUACUAUCUCUAUUACUAUCUCUAUGUCUAACGUAGACAUUUUUACCAUAAAAACGGAUCAUUAUUAUACUUGUUCUUCGCCCAUCACGGCUGUUUUUUUUCUGUAACUUUUUGGUCCUCGCAUGCUCCAAAGCGUGUCCUCGCCAACUGACCGUGUGCAACAGUUGAAAAUAAAAAGCAGACACUUGCAAUCCACCGCGCUCCUCUAGUCCACAGUCUCCAAUUCCGAAUCCAUCCCCACAUCCGCAGCCACGUCAUCGAUCCGCGCCACCCCCCUCGCACCCGCGCCCCCAUCCCACCCCUCCAAUUUCAAUCCAACGUCCCACCCCGCCCCUCCCACGGAUCGACCCAGCAAGCGCCUCCGUCCUCCCGCCCCAAAUCCACCCAAAUCCCGCGCUUCCCUCCCAAAUCCCGCCUAUAUAAACCCGCCUCCACCCUGAAUCCCACCACAAGCUUCAGCACCACUUCCUCUUCCCCCCAACCACACCUCUCUCGGAGCUAGGCGGAGCGGCGAUGUCUGGGCGCGGCAAGGGCGGCAAGGGGCUGGGCAAGGGCGGCGCCAAGCGCCACCGGAAGGUCCUCCGCGACAACAUCCAGGGCAUCACCAAGCCGGCCAUCCGGAGGCUGGCCAGGAGAGGCGGUGUGAAGCGCAUCUCCGGCCUCAUCUACGAGGAGACCCGCGGCGUCCUCAAGAUCUUCCUCGAGAACGUCAUCCGCGACGCCGUCACCUACACCGAGCACGCCCGCCGCAAGACCGUCACCGCCAUGGACGUCGUCUACGCGCUCAAGCGCCAGGGCCGCACCCUCUACGGCUUCGGCGGCUAGGUUCCCCGAUUCCGCUGGCGGCAGUAGCAGUAGUACGAAUGUAUCGGGUGUCCUCUGUGGUAGGUGGGAUGUACCACUGAUUUCG